GACGAACGCUGGCGGCGUGCUUAACACAUGCAAGUCGAGCGGUAAGGCCCUUUCGGGGGUACACGAGCGGCGAACGGGUGAGUAACACGUGGGUGACCUGCCCUCAGCUCUGGGAUAAGCCCGGGAAACUGGGUCUAAUACUGGAUAUUACUCUGCGGUGCAUGCCGUGGGGUGGAAAGCCUUGUGCGGCUGGGGAUGGGCCCGCGGCCUAUCAGCUUGUUGGUGGGGUGAUGGCCACCAAGGCGACGACGGGUAGCCGGCCUGAGAGGGCGACCGGCCACACUGGGACUGAGACACGGCCCAGACUCCUACGGGAGGCAGCAGUGGGGAAUCUUGCGCAAUGGGCGAAAGCCUGACGCAGCGACGCCGCGUGAGGGAUGACGGCCUGGU
rnacentral:rRNA from 1 species